ensembl:lncRNA
GUCAAUCUGGGAUUUGGUACAUGCAGUUUUUAUUUUUUUUAAACUUUUCACAUUGAAAAGAAUAAUUUUGAUCCCAUGGAUGGCUAGAUGCUGCAUCCAUAGUGAUGAAUGCGAGAGAGGUGAUGUUUCUCCCGCCCCAUCCCUUAGAUGUUUACCUUAAUAACAAGUGGCCAGAUGACCUAAACCGAUUCAAAUUGCAUUUUGUGUCUUGGCCUUUUUUCCACAUUUAAAACACAGACGUUGUAAAAGUUGAAUCAAUGUUUGGGGUUAAAUAUCUGCAUUCAUAUGUCAAGUCAUUACAAAAGUUCAGAGAGGUGGAUUGUGUGUAAGGUGUGACGCACUACCACCAUGCCACCACCAGUACUACUGUCUGCCACGUCUAAGAUGUCUUCUGGUUCAGUGCACUAUAUGGCCUCCGAGGUGUUUAGAGACGUUGUUGACUCGGUUAAGAGGGUUAGGGUUAGUGCACUAUAUGGCCCCCGAGGUGUUUAGAGACAUUGUUGACUCGGUUAAGAGGGUUAGUGCACUAUAUGGCCUCCGAGGUGUUUAGAGACGUUGUUGACUCGGUUAAGAGGGUUAGUGCACUAUAUGGCCUCCGAGGUGUUUAGAGACGUUGUUGACUCGGUUAAGAGGGUUAGUGCACUAUAUGGCCUCCGAGGUGUUUAGAGACGUUGUUGACUCGGUUAAGAGGGUUAGGGUUAGUGCACUAUAUGGCCUCCGAGGUGUUUAGAGACGUUGUUGACUCGGUUAAGAGGGUUAGGGUUAGUGCACUAUAUGGCCUCCGAGGUGUUUAGAGACGUUGUUGACUCAGUUAAGAGGGUUAGUGCACUAUAUGGCCUCCGAGGUGUUUAGAGACGUUGUUGACUCAGUUAAGAGGGUUAGUGCACUAUAUGGCCCCCGAGGUGUUUAGAGACGUUGUUGACUCAGUUAAGAGGGUUAGGGUUAGUGCACUAUAUGGCCCCCGAGGUGUUUAGAGACGUUGUUGACUCAGUUAAGAGGGUUAGGGUUAGUGCACUAUAUGGCCUCCGAGGUGUUUAGAGACGUUGUUGACUCGGUUAAGAGGGUUAGGGUUAGUGCACUAUAUGGCCUCCGAGGUGUUUAGAGACGUUGUUGACUCGGUUAAGAGGGUUAGGGUUAGUGCAC